ACCGUGGGGGGGUUUUAAAAUCUCAGGACUUGUCUUCUUUCGCGGUAAACCUAUGAGAAGAAACCACCCAAAGUCCACCCAAAUCUGGACUGUACAUUGAGAUAUAACUCUUUUCUUCCACUCUACUGCUGAUCUGUUUCGGAUACGCGGUGGUUAAGAAGAUGUGGAAACCUAUGUUUGACCAAGGCCUUGCCCAUUGGGCACUUCAAGUCUACCCCUGAUUGAUAUUCGGCUUGAAUAUAUAUAGCAAUGGAACCGGUCCUUUUCGGUAUGUUCAGAAGCUUGCUAGAGACCGACGAUCCACAUAUACAAUCUCCCAAAAUGAAAGCGGUAUUCCAGCAGCUUACAAACGCGCUCUCCCCCUUUUCUCUCUUCAGUUCUGUGUGGGAAGCCUUAACAUUCCAAAAAUAGGUCUCUCUCCUUCUCCUCCAAUUUUGUUUAGGUCCAAUGUAAAGAAUUCAGCAUCUUUGAAACCCAAACUUCUUAUACAAAUUAUGGCCCUCCAGACUUGCCUCCAGCCACCCAGGGAUAUUCUCUUUAUCCGCAAUGUCAACGCCAUAUUGUAACAUUGCAGAGCCAGCACCAAGACCUUGGUGGGCAAUCUUGGUCGCGAGACAACCGAGUACUUUUUAUACUGUGAGAAAAAAUGUCAUGUGUCUGAAUCUGAGACUUGUCCUUCCCUAGAAAAUACAUGGGAAAGGGGGGAAGAACGUGGAUGGAAAGGAAAAAAGGGCUCCAAUGACAGAUGGCGAAACCCAAAAAAAAAAAAAAGACUGGAAUUCGAAAACGGGGACCUACCAACAUGCCUCUGUCCACACAUCCUUUCCCGCAUUUUGAAAAUCCUUCC
rnacentral:sRNA from 1 species